AGAGUUUGAUCCUGGCUCAGAUUGAACGCUGGCGGCAUGCCUAACACAUGCAAGUCGAACGGGUUGUACUUCGGUACAGCUAGUGGCGGACGGGUGAGUAACACAUAGGAAUCUGCCCGAGAGUGGGGGAUAACCCAGGGAAACUUGGAUUAAUACCGCAUGAUCUCUACGGAGCAAAGCUGGGGACCUUCGGGCCUGGCGCUUUUGGAGGAGCCUAUGUCUGAUUAGCUUGUUGGUGAGGUAACGGCUCACCAAGGCGACGAUCAGUAACUGGUCUGAGAGGACGACCAGUCACACCGGAACUGAGACACGGUCCGGACUCCUACGGGAGGCAGCAGUGGGGAAUAUUGGACAAUGGGCGAAAGCCUGAUCCAGCAAUGCCGCGUGUGUGAAGAAGGCCUUCGGGUUGUAAAGCACUUUAGGAUGGAAAGAAAAAACUUCAGUUAAUAGCUGAAGUCUUGACGGUACCAUCAGAAUAAGCACCGGCUAACUCUGUGCCAGCAGCCGCGGUAAUACAGAGGGUGCAAGCGUUAAUCGGAUUUACUGGGCGUAAAGCGUGUGUAGGUGGUGGCGUAAGUCGAUUGUGAAAUCCCCGGGCUCAACCUGGGAACUGCUUUCGAUACUGCGUCACUAGAGUACGGUAGAGGGUGGUGGAAUUUCCGGUGUAGCGGUGAAAUGCGUAGAUAUCGGAAGGAACAUCAAUGGCGAAAGGCAACCACCUGGGCCUGUACUGACACUGAGACACGAAAGCGUGGGGAUCAAACAGGAUUAGAUACCCUGGUAGUCCACGCCGUAAACGAUGACAACUUGACGUUGGUUUGCUUAGCGAAUCAGUGUC
rnacentral:rRNA from 1 species